GGGCAGAUUGCCAACAACCUGCCAUCUCCCUCCCGUGUGGCCGUGCUCCUAAAAUCACUGAACAUCAGCAGAGUAAAGCUGUAUGAUGCUGAUCCCAAUGUUCUAAGAGCCUUCUCCAAUUCUGAUGUUGAGUUCAUCAUUGGACUUCCUAAUGACAACCUUGCAGCCAUGACUGAUCCCACCAAAGCCCAAGCUUGGAUUCAGCAGAAUGUUCAACCCUUUCUUCCCCAGACCAAGAUCACCUGCAUUACAGUUGGGAAUGAGAUCUUAUCCGGCACCGAUAAGCAGUUAAUGUCGAAUCUCCUACCUGCAAUGCAGUCAGUACAUAGUGCUCUUGUAAGCCUGGAACUAGAUGACCAAGUGGGUGUCGUAACUGCCCAUUCACUGGCCAUCUUGGCUGAAUCCUUCCCUCCUUCAUCAGGUUCUUUUAGGCAGGAUCUUGGAGGAUAUCUCCAA
rnacentral:lncRNA from 1 species